CGCUCCGCUGGUCGCUGGUCGCAGGAUGCGGGGCAGGCUCGGAGGGUCUGGAGUCUGGAGCCCGCGCCCCUCGGGGCUGCCUCCGCUCAGAUGUGGCUCCUAGAAAAUUUAAAAUCACUUACGCGGCUCUCCUUACGUUUCUCUCACUGGAAAGUGAGUGGUUGGGCAGGCGUUAGAAAGCGGGCAGCAAAGUCCUUUCCUAACUGAGCCUCAACAUUCAAAAAGAUUUUGUGCCCAAAUUUAAACAAACAUAAAGGGCAGCAAGUGUAAUAAACCCCCCACCAGUACCCGUCACCGAUUUAAAAUUCUCAACAGACUGUCUCUCUUUGUAUUUGGAUAUGUUUCCUACUUCCCCCAUCCAUUGCUUUUGAAGCAAACCCCAACAUCUUAUCAUUUCGUCCUAACAUUUCAGUAUGUGGCUCUGAAAACAGACUCGAGAAACAAAGCCACAGGCAGUUCCCCUGCUGGGGGUGUGCCCGAGAGAACUGGAAACACGUUCACCCAGGGCCUUGACGGUGAACGUUCACAGGAGCGGCAUUCAUCGCCACCAAGACGGCCAUGGACGGGAGAAGGGGCGAACAGACGUGGACUGCCCACGCGGCGGGAUUUUCUGUGUCCAUCCCAGGGACCAAGCGCUGACGUGCACUGCAACGUGGAGGAACUUGCCGACAUCGUGCUGAGUGAAGGAAGCCAGACACCAAAGGCCACGUGCUGCAUGAUUCCACGCUUGUGACGUGCCCACAACAGGCAGAGCCACAGCAGAAAGUAGACUGGGGGUUGCCGCAGCCUGGGGCUGGGAGGGGAGGGAGUAGGGGGUAGCUGCUAAUCAGUACAGAGUUUCUUUUCGGGGUGAUGAAAAUAUUCUGGAAUUACUGGUGACAAUUGUACAACUUUAUGACUGUGCUAAACAUCAUUGGAUGUUACACUUCAAGAGAGCGAAUUUUAUGAGGCGUGAAUUGUAUCUCCAUUGUAAAAAGCCACCGUGUCCUCAUGAUGCCUACAAAAUGAACAGUUAUCCUCGGUGGCAGAGAUCUCACCCAGCAUCCCAUCGGGGUGCAAACCCUGAUUGCCCAUAAAUAUUUGUAUCUCCCACGUUUUUUUUUUUUUUAAAUUGCAUCCUAAUAAGGGCCACAUGUCACAUGUGGACAAUCAUACACGAAUAAGUAUGUGAAUCAAUAAUAAAUAAUACAUGAGUAAAUCUCUUAAACCAGGA